CGGAGCUUGCUCCACCGGAGAAAGAGGCAGUGGGGAACGGGUGAGUAGCAGCGUGGGGAACGUGCCCAUCAGAAGGGGAUAACACUUGGAAACAGGUGCUAAUACCGUAUAACAAGCGAAACCGCGUGGUUUUGAUUUGAAAGGCGGUUUCGGGUGGCGCUGAUGGAUGGACCCGCGGUGCAUUAGCUAGGUGGUGAGGUAACGGCUCACCAAGGGCACGAUGCAUAGCCGACCUGAGAGGGUGAUCGGCCACAUUGGGACUGAGACACGGCCCAAACUCCUACGGGAGGCAGCAGUAGGGAAUCUUCGGCAAUGGACGAAAGUCUGACCGAGCAACGCCGCGUGAGUGAAGAAGGUUUUCGGAUCGUAAAACUCUGUUGUUAGAGAAGAACAAGGAUGAGAGUAACUGUUCAUCCCUUGACGGUAUCUAACCAGAAAGCCACGGCUAACUACGUGCCAGCAGCCGCGGUAAUACGUAGGUGGCAAGCGUUGUCCGGAUUUAUUGGGCGUAAAGCGAGCGCAGGCGGUUUCUUAAGUCUGAUGUGAAAGCCCCCGGCUCAACCGGGGAGGGUCAUUGGAAACUGGGAGACUUGAGUGCAGAAGAGGAGAGUGGAAUUCCAUGUGUAGCGGUGAAAUGCGUAGUAUAUGGAGGAACACCAGUGGCGAAGGCGGCUCUCUGGUCUGUAACUGACGCUGAGGCUCGAAAGCGUGGGGAGCAAACAGGAUUAGAUACCCUGGUAGUCCACGCCGUAAACGAUGAGUGCUAAGUGUUGGA
rnacentral:rRNA from 1 species